GACGAACGCUGGCGGCGUGCUUAACACACGCAAGUCGAACGGAAAGGCCUCUUUCGGGGGGUACUCGAGUGACGAACGGGUGAGUAACACGUGAGUAACCUGCCCUUGACUUUGGGAUAACUUCAGGAAACUGGGGCUAAUACCGGAUAGGAGCUCCUGCUGCAUGGUGGGGGUUGGAAAGUUUCGGCGGUUGGGGAUGGACUCGCGGCUUAUCAGCUUGUUGGUGGGGUAGUGGCUUACCAAGGCUUUGACGGGUAGCCGGCCUGAGAGGGUGACCGGCCACAUUGGGACUGAGAUACGGCCCAGACUCCUACGGGAGGCAGCAGUGGGGAAUAUUGCACAAUGGGUGGAAGCCUGAUGCAGCAACGCCGUGGGCGGGAGGACGGCCUUCGGGUUGUAAACCGCUUUCGCUCAUGACGAAGCUUUGUGUGACGGUAGUGGGUAAAGAAGCACCGGCUAACUACGUG
rnacentral:rRNA from 1 species